rnacentral:rRNA from 1 species
GCCAGCCCGCUCAGAACUAAAGGAAUUGACGGGGCCGCACAAGCGGUGGAGUAUGUGGUUUAAUUCGAUGCAACGCGAAGAACCUUACCUGGUCUUGACAUCCCGGAGACCCUUAGGAAACUAGGGGGUGCUUCCAUCUGGAAGAAUCUGGAGACAGGUGCUGCAUGGCUGUCGUCAGCUCGUGUCGUGAGAUGUUGGGUUAAGUCCCGCAACGAGCGCAACCCUUGCCUUUAGUUGCCAGCAGUUCGGCUGGGCACUCUAAAGGGACUGCCGGUGUUAAACCGGAGGAAGGUGGGGAUGACGUCAAGUCCUCAUGGCCUUUAUGACCAGGGCUACACACGUACUACAAUGGCCGAUACAAAGGGCAGCGACACUGCGAGGUGAAGCCAAUCCCGUAAAAUCGGUCUCAGUCCGGAUUGGAGUCUGCAACUCGACUCCAUGAAGUUGGAAUCGCUAGUAAUCGUGGAUCAGCAUGCCACGGUGAAUACGUUCCCGGGCCUU